rnacentral:rRNA from 1 species
CGUGUAGGCGGUUUGGUAAGUCAGAUGUGAAAGCCCCGGGCUCAACCCGGGAAGUGCAUUUGGAACUAUCUUUCUUGAGUAUGGGAGAGGAGAGUGGAAUUUCCAGUGUAGAGGUGAAAUUCGUAGAUAUUGGGAGGAACACCGGUGGCGAAGGCGACUCUCUGGACCAAUACUGACGCUGAGACGCGAAAGCGUGGGGAGCAAACAGGAUUAGAUACCCUGGUAGUC